AUUUUGUGUUUUUGCAACACUUUUGGAAUUUGGAAGAGGGGAAAGUGAAAGAAAAAAACCCUUAGGCAAAAAGUAAAGGAGAUGAAGCCAAGCGAAAACAUCCAUAUCAGUAACAAGAACGGCGAUAGUGAAGUGAAGAAGGUAACAAAACCCCUUUUCAGACCCGCUAAAGAUGACUCAAAGCCACUUCUUCAAGAUCCAAUACUGAGAUCAGACCCAAUUGAGACAGAGGAAGCUCUGCUGCGGUUGCCUCCUUUUCCUAUUUGUAAACCUAAAUCUCAAACCUAGUGAAAUUUUAUCAUCUCUUUGUUAAUUUUGUGCCCUUGAAUCUGUUUUCAUAAGCCUGGUUGUUGUUCUGCUUGAACUUGUUUGGUAAUAUUUAGUUAUUAUUAGUGCAAAGAAAUAUGUUUCUCUGAAA